CUAUGGCCAUAUCACAUUGAAGCACUGGUUCUUGUAUGAUCAUUUUAAGUUAAGCAACAACAAGCCUGGUCAGUACUUAGAUGGGUGAGCACUUGGGAGUACCAGGUACUGUAA